rnacentral:misc_RNA from 1 species
GAUGAAGAACGCAGCGAAAUGCGAUACGUAAUGUGAAUUGCAGAAUUCAGUGAAUCAUCGAAUCUUUGAACGCACAUUGCGCCCGCCAGCACUCUGGCGGGCAUGCCUGUUCGAGCGUCAUUUCAACCAUCAAGCCCCAGGCUUGCGUUGGAGCCCUGCGGCUACCGCAGCCUCCUAAAAGCAGUGGCGGGCUCGCUAUCACACCGAGUGCAGUAGAUUACUCUUCGCUCAGGGCGUGCAGCGGGUUCCGGCCGUGAAACCCCCUACUUUUAAAGGUUGACCUCGGAUCAGGUAGGAAUACCCGCUGAACUUAAGCAUAUCAAUAAGCGGAGGA